rnacentral:rRNA from 1 species
GACGAACGCUUGCGGCGUGCUUAACACAUGCAAGUCGAGCGGUAAGGCCCUUUCGGGGGUACACGAGCGGCGAACGGGUGAGUAACACGUGGGUGACCUGCCCUCAGCUCUGGGAUAAGCCUGGGAAACCGGGUCUAAUACUGGAUAUGACUCCAUGACGCAUGUUGUGGGGUGGAAAGCCUUGUGCGGCUGAGGAUGGGCCCGCGGCCUAUCAGCUUGUUGGUGGGGUGANGGCCUACCAAGGCGACGACGGGUAGCCGGCCUGAGAGGGCGACCGGCCACACUGGGACUGAGACACGGCCCAGACUCCUACGGGAGGCAGGCAGUGGGGAAUCUUGCGCAAUGGGCGAAAGCCUGACGCAGCGACGCCGCGUGAGGGAUGACGGCCU